rnacentral:rRNA from 1 species
GACGAACGCUGGCGGCGUGCCUAAUACAUGCAAGUAGAACGCUGAAGGAGGAGCUUGCUUCUCUGGAUGAGUUGCGAACGGGUGAGUAACGCGUAGGUAACCUGCCUGGUAGCGGGGGAUAACUAUUGGAAACGAUAGCUAAUACCGCAUAAUAGCAGUUGUUGCAUGACAACUGUUUGAAAGGUGCAAUUGCACCACUACCAGAUGGACCUGCGUUGUAUUAGCUAGUUGGUGGGGUACGGCUCACCAAGGCCACGUUACAUAACCGACCGGGGAUGGUGAUCGGCCACACUGGGACUGAGACACGGCCCAGACUCCUACGGGAGGCAGCAGUAGGGAAUCUUCGGCAAUGGACGGAAGACUGACCGAGCAACGCCGCGUGAGGGAAGAAGGGUGUCGGAUCGUAAAGGUCGGUUGUAAGGGAAGAACGAGUGUGAGAGUGGAAAGUUCACACUGUGACGGUAUCUGACCAGAAAGGGACGGCUAACUACGUG